GACAAACAGGCCAAGUUAAGUCUAAUAUGGUAAAAAAGGAAGUGAAAUUAAAGAAGGAAAAGAAUUAAUUUAAUAUAAAGGGGUGGAAUCCGCAUAUAAUAAGUUGAAUCGGUGUCUUUUCUUUUUGACGCUUCGAAAACUAAGUAAGAGACCGGGAUUAGAUACCCCGUUAUUUUUUUUGUAAAUUUUGAUCAUUUUGAUUUACCUGAGUAUUACGGGUUAUAAUGGCCGCAUAUUAAUUUAAAUUAAUAUGGUGUCAUUUAAGUACUUAAAACUCAAAAAACUUGGCGGUGCCUUAUUUCCUCCCAGGGGAACCUGUCCUGUAAUCGAUGAUCCACGAUUAAUCUUACUUUUUUUUGAAUUUACAUAAAAUGUAAAAUCAGUUUGUAUACCGUCGUCGUCAGAUUACCUUUAAGAGUUAAAAAGUUGUCUGUUGAAUUAGGAUUUUGUUUAUAAUAAUUGAAUAUAUAAUUGAAGUUGAUUUUUGAUGUCAGAUCAAGGUGCAGCUUAUAAGAAAGUAGAGAUGGGUUACAAUGUAAAUUUUAUAGUAUGGAUACCGGCUUGAAAUAGCCGGAUGAAAGCGGACUUGGAAGUAAUUUUUUAAACAAAUUAAAAUUAGUAAGUUUGUGUGAAUGCAGGUACUAAGGUGCGC
rnacentral:rRNA from 1 species